GGCUACACACGUGCUACAAUGGGUAGUACAGAGAGUCGCAAAGCCGCGAGGUGGAGCUAAUCUCAGAAAACUAUUCUUAGUUCGGAUUGUACUCUGCCACUCGAGUACAUGAAGUUGGAAUCGCUAGUAAUCGCGAAUCAGCAAUGUCGCGGUGAAUACGUUCUCGGGUCUUGUACACACCGCCCGUCACACCACGAGAGUUGGUUGCACCUGAAGUAGCAGGCCUAACCGCAAGGAGGGAUGCUCCGAGGGUGUGAUUAGCGAUUGGGGUGAAGUCGUAACAAGGUAUCCGUACGGGAACGU
rnacentral:rRNA from 1 species